AUGCUAGGUUCUACAACCAUUGUUGUAGCUCAUCAUAUGUAUUCUAUGCCUCCCUAUCCAUAUCUAGCUACUGACUAUGGUACACAACUUUCCUUGUUCACACACCACAUGUGGAUUGGCGGAUUUCUAAUAGUCGGUGUUGCUGCACAUGUAGCAAUUUUUAUGGUAAGAGACUAUGAUCCAACUACUCGAUACAACGAUCUAUUAUAUCGCGUCCUUAGACACCGCGAUGCAAUCAUAUCCCACCUUAACUGGGUAUGUAUAUUUCUAGGUUUUCAUAGUUUUGGCUUGUACAUUCAUAAUGAUACCAUGAGUGCUUUAGGCCGUCCACAAGAUAUGUUUUCGGAUACUGCCAUACAAUUACAACCUAUCUUUGCUCAAUUUGUACAAAAUAUCCAUGCUACUGCGCCUGGCGUAAUAGCUCCUGGUGCAACUACAAGUACUAGCUUAACGUGGGGAGGCGGCGAGUUAGUAGCAGUAGGUGGCAAAGUGGCUUUGUUACCUAUUCCAUUAGGAACCGCAAAUUUUUUAGUCCAUCACAUUCAUGCAUUUACCAUACAUGUGACUGUAUUAAUAGUUUUGAAAGGUGUUUUAUUUGCUCGGAGUUCCCGUUUGAUACCCGAUAAAGCAAAUCUAGGUUUUUGCUUUCCUUGCGAUGGGCCUGGCCGAGGGGGAACAUGUCAAGUAUCCGCCUGGGAUCAUGUUUUCUUAGGUUUAUUCUGGAGGUGCAAUGCAAUUUCGGUAGUCAUUUUCCAUUUCAGUUGGAAAAUGCAGUCGGAUGUUUGGGGUACUAUUAGUGAUCAAGGGGUGGUAACUCAUAUUACAGGGGGAAACUUUGCACAGAGUUCCAUUACGAUUAAUGGGUGGCUUCGAGAUUUCUUGUGGGCACAGGCAUCGCAAGUCAUUCAGUCUUAUGGUUCUUCAUUAUCUACAUAUGGUAUUUUUUUUCUUAGGUGA
rnacentral:rRNA from 1 species